AAACCGGCGUCGGAUGGUAAACUACGACAAAAUUAUUAAUGUAAAUUAUACAAAUAGUGAAGAAAUAAUAGAUGGCAGAUACGAUAUUAUUUAUAAUUUGGAUGAUUUGGAGAACUAUAAAGCAAGACAUUAAAAAUUUCUAUUCUUCAACAAAAUGUAUGUUUCCAGGUUCAAAUCGUAUUAAAAAAAACAAGAUAACACUGGACACAUUACUAAUUAUCAACACAAAAUGUUACCAUCUCAGUGAAAUUCUAACAACCAAAAACAUGACGAUCA